rnacentral:rRNA from 1 species
UUCCAGACUCCUACGGGAGGCAGCAGUGGGGGAUAUUGCACAAUGGGGGGAACCCUGAUGCAGCGACGCCGCGUGGGUGAAGGAGCGUUUCGGCGCGUAAAGCCCUAUCGGCAGGGAAGAAGGAGGACGGUACCUGACUAAGAAGCCCCGGCUAACUACGUGCCAGCAGACGCGGUAAUACGUAGGGGGCAAGCGUUAUCCGGAUUUACUGGGUGUAAAGGGGGCGCAGACGGCAGCGCAAGCCAGGAGUGAAAGCCCGGGGCCCAACCCCGGGACUGCUCUUGGAACUGCGCGGCUGGAGUGCAGGAGGGGCAGGCGGAAUUCCUGGUGUAGCGGUGAAAUGCGUAGAUAUCAGGAGGAACACCGGUGGCGAAGGCGGCCUGCUGGACUGCAACUGACGUUGAGGCCCGAAAGCGUGGGGAGCAAACAGGAUUAGAUCCCCGCGUA